rnacentral:rRNA from 1 species
AUGUUUUUUUUUCUGUUUUCAAGAGGCACGACCGCGCCUCUCACGGAAGCAAAAUCGUGCCUCUCAUGGAAGGAAAAAAGAAGAGAAAAACGUCUUUUUUCAUUUAGGAGAGGCACGAGGCGCGGAAGUAAAACCGUGCCUCUCUGGAAAAAAAAAGAAAACGAGUAUUUUUCGUUUGCGAUGGGCACGACCAUGCCUCUCGCGGAAGUAAAACCGUGCCUCUCACAGAUUUUUUUUUUCCGUUUUCAAGAGGCACAGCCGUGCCUUUCGCAGAACAAAACCGUGCAUUUCGCAGAAGGAAAAAAAGAGAAAACAUGUUUUUCAAAUCCGUGCCUCUCGCGGAAGAAAAAAAGGCAUUUUUUUUGA